AGAGCGAACGCUGGCGGCAGGCUUAACACAUGCAAGUCGAACGGAUCCUUCGGGAUUAGUGGCGGACGGGUGAGUAACACGUGGGAACGUGCCUUUGGUUCGGAACAACUCAGGGAAACUUGAGCUAAUACCGGAUGUGCCCUUCGGGGGAAAGAUUUAUCGCCAUUAGAGCGGCCCGCGUCUGAUUAGCUAGUUGGUGAGGUAAAGGCCCACCAAGGCUACGAUCAGUAGCUGGUCUGAGAGGAUGACCAGCCACAUUGGGACUGAGACACGGCCCAAACUCCUACGGGAGGCAGCAGUGGGGAAUCUUGCGCAAUGGGCGAAAGCCUGACGCAGCCAUGCCGCGUGAAUGAUGAAGGUCUUAGGAUUGUAAAAUUCUUUCACCGGGGACGAUAAUGACGGUACCCGGAGAAGAAGCCCCGGCUAACUUCGUGCCAGCAGCCGC
rnacentral:rRNA from 1 species